rnacentral:lncRNA from 1 species
ACACAGACAUGUCCACUUAAUAAUCCAGAAAUAUGCUGACACCGAUAAUUUAUCAGCACAACAAUGUCCAGAGUAUUUCAGGUGGAUUUACCAGGUGGAUAACAAUAUUAAGUGAAUAUGACCUGAUGAUUAUGUACUUUGUUUCCAAUGUGAUCGGAUUAAUUUUUAUUUUUCUUUUGGAAAAAAAGAAUCAUCCUCAUUUAUGUUAAUACAUGAAUUGUUUAGUUUGAUUUCUAUCCAUAAAAUUCAUAUUUUUAGUCGCAUAAAAAAUUUCAGUAGGUAUAUGAUUUUAAAUUUCAUAAUUUAUAUUCUAAUUUAGAUCAAUGUUAAGAUAAAAGUUAAUAAAUUUUACUCUAUCUCUUUCAGAAAGCAUUUAAUCUAAAUCUCAUAUAAAAGAGAAAUAAGAAAAUUCAAAGUCAAUUAUAGUUGUGAAUUACGCAGUCAAAUAAUGCCAACGCUGAUCAUCAAGGUAUCAUGCUCUCAAGAUCCGAUUUUUUCAGAUAUGUUAUGGAUUAAAAUCUAUCAGUUUGCAUACCAGAAGUAGAAUUUAUAAUAUUGCUUCUUCCUGCAGAAAGGCAUAACCAUAAUGUUGCUGGAACAUUUAUCAUAUUCCAUUAUUUUCAUUUAUUUAAGGUAGCAUCAGCAGAUCAACUCCAGCGUCAGGAAACCCGCAUUCAUAAAUGUCUACAUGUCUGAAAUUGAUGAGCCUGGUCAGGAAAAUCUAAUGUUAAUACUGAUUUAAUUUAUUUUCAGACCUCAUUUUAAUGAAAAUUUUAAUAAUUUACUCGCACGCGAAGCGCGGGCAUAAUUCCCUAGUGUAAUUUAAUUGAUGUAAAUUGACGUAACCGCGUGGUCAUUCAUAUUUAUAAUUAGAUGGCUUAUUAGCACACUAUAAAUAAACCGCACAUAAAAUAAAUAAUAAUUUUAUAAUCAAAUAACUAAACAUCAUCAUGUGGUAUAAUAAAUUAUUAAGUCGACUGUAGUUCAAAUUUGGAUGUUAUCCCCGUGUGAGAUAUCCUUCUAUACAUGAUAGUAUUAACUAAUUUGAAUGUUGUCCUCAAGAUGAGAUAUCCUUUUAUACAUAGUAGUAUUAACUUAUUAAGAUCAAAAAGAUUGCUAAAGUGGUAUUGUUAGCUUUUCAUUGCAAUGGAAAGAGUGCAAAGUAAAGUUACCNGAAAUAUGCUGACACCGAUAAUUUAUCAGCACAACAAUGUCCAGAGUAUUUCAGGUGGAUUUACCAGGUGGAUAACAAUAUUAAGUGAAUAUGACCUGAUGAUUAUGUACUUUGUUUCCAAUGUGAUCGGAUUAAUUUUUAUUUUUCUUUUGGAAAAAAAGAAUCAUCCUCAUUUAUGUUAAUACAUGAAUUGUUUAGUUUGAUUUCUAUCCAUAAAAUUCAUAUUUUUAG